UGAGUACGAGCUGCUACGGCAGCGAAGUGGGUGACGUCAAGCUUCCAAGAAAAGCCCUAUACCCGUUAAGGCAUGAUGGCCUGUACCCGAAACCGACACAGGAGGGGUGGUAGAGAAUACCGAGGGGCGCGAGAUAACUCUCUCUAAGGAACUCGGCAAAAUGGCCCCGUAACUUCGGGAGAAGGGGUGCCACCGCAAGGUGGUCGCAGUGAAGAGGCCCAGGCGACUGUUUACCAAAAACACAGGUCUCCGCUAAGUCGCAAGACGAUGUAUGGGGGCUGACGCCUGCCCAGUGCCGGAAGGUUAAGGAAGCUGGUCAGCGUAAGCGAAGCUAGCGACUGAAGCCCCGGUGAACGGCGGCCGUAACGAUAACGGUCCUAAGGUAGCGAAAUUCCUUGUCGGGUAAGUUCCGACCCGCACGAAAGGCGUAACGAUCUGGGCGCUGUCUCGGAGAGAGGCUCGGCGAAAUAGAAUUGUCUGUGAAGAUGCGGACUACGUGCACCCGGACAGAAAGACCCUAUGAAGCUUUACUGUAGCUUGGUAUUGUGCUCGGGCUCGGAAUGCGCAGGAUAGGUGGGAGGCUAUGAACCAUUGCUUGUGGGUGAUGGUGAGCCACUGGUGAGAUACCACUCUUUCCGAGCUAGAGUUCUAACAGCCACCCGUUAUCCGGGGGCUGGACAGUAUCAGGUGGGCAGUUUGACUGGGGCGGUCGCCUCCUAAAAGGUAACGGAGGCGCGCAAAGGUUUGCUCAGGCUGGUUGGAAAUCAGCCGACGAGUGUAAAAGCAGAAGCAAGCUUGACUGUGAGACCUACAAGUCGAACAGGGAGGAAACUCGGCUUUAGUGAUCCGACGGUUCUGCGUGGAAGGGCCGUCGCUCAACGGAUAAAAGUUACUCUAGGGAUAACAGGCUGAUCUCCCCCAAGAGUUCACAUCGACGGGGAGGUUUGGCACCUCGAUGUCGGCUCAUCGCAACCUGGGGCUGAAGUCGGUCCCAAGGGUUGGGCUGUUCGCCCAUUAAAGCGGUACGCGAGCUGGGUUCUGAACGUCGUGAGACAGUUCGGUCCAUAUCCGGUGCAUGCGCAGGAAUAUUGAGAGGAUUUCUCCCUAGUACGAGAGGACCGGGAGGAACGCACCUCUGGUGUACCAGUUAUCGUGCCAACAGUAAACGCUGGGUAGCCAUGUGCGGAGAGGAUAACCGCUGAAAGCAUCUAAGUGGGAAGCCCACCUCAAGAUGAGUAUUCCCAUGGGUUAACCCAGUAGGUCACGGGAAGAACACCCGUUGAUAGGCUCUACGUGGAAGCGCAGUAAUGUGUGAAGCGGAGGAGUACUAAUAGACCGAGGGCUUGAC
rnacentral:rRNA from 1 species